GACGAACGCUGGCGGCGUGCUUAACACAUGCAAGUCGAACGGAAAGGCCCUGCUUUUGUGGGGUGCUCGAGUGGCGAACGGGUGAGUAACACGUGAGUAACCUGCCCUUGACUUUGGGAUAACUUCAGGAAACUGGGGCUAAUACCGGAUAGGAGCUCCUGCUGCAUGGUGGGGGUUGGAAAGUUUCGGCGGUUGGGGAUGGACUCGCGGCUUAUCAGCUUGUUGGUGGGGUAGUGGCUUACCAAGGCUUUGACGGGUAGCCGGCCUGGGAGGGCGACCGGCCACAUUGGGACUGAGAUACGGCCCAGACUCCUACGGGAGGCAGCAGUGGGGAAUAUUGCACAAUGGGCGGAAGCCUGAUGCGGCAACGCCGCGUGCGGGAUGACGGCCUUCGGGUUGUAAACCGCUUUCGCCUGUGACGAAGCGUGAGUGACGGUAAUGGGUAAAGAAGCACCGGCUAACUACGUG
rnacentral:rRNA from 1 species